rnacentral:rRNA from 1 species
GACGAACGCUGGCGGCGUGCCUAAUACAUGCAAGUCGAACGCAGUUGAGAACGGGUGAGUAACGCGUAGGUACCUGCCUUAACGCGGGGGACAACUAUUGGUAACGCUAGCUAAUACCGCAUACUGUGAGAUGGACUUGCGUUGUAUUGGCUAGUUGGUGAGGUAAAGGCUCACCAAGGCGACGAUGCAUAGCCGACCGGAGAGGGGGAGCGGCAACACUGGGACUGGGACACGGCCCAGACUCCUACGGGAGGCAGCAGUAGGGAAUCUUCGGCAAGGGACGAAAGUCUGACCGAGCAACGCCGCGUGAGUGAAGAAGGUUUCGGGUCGGAAAACCCUGGUGUUAGGAGAGCGGUAACUAACCAGAAAGCGACGGCUAACUACGUGCCAGCAGCCGCGGUAAUAC